rnacentral:rRNA from 1 species
UACGGAGGUGCAAGCGUUAAUCGGAAUUACUGGGCGUAAAGCGCACGCAGGCGGUUUGUUAAGUCAGAUGUGAAAUACCCGGGCUCAACCUCGGGAACUGCAUCUGAUACUGGCAAGCUUGAGUCUCGUAGAGGGGGUAGGAAUUCCAGGUGUAGCGGUGAAAUGCGUAGAGAUCUGGAGGAAUACCGGUGGCGAAGGCGGCCCCCUGGACGAAGACUGACGCUCAGGUGCGAAAGCGUGGGGAGCAAACAGGAUUAGAUACCCUGGUAG